AUUUGUAAUGCGAGGGUCAUCGGUUCAAAUCCGAUAGUCGGCU
rnacentral:tRNA from 2 species